GCAGACCCCAUGUUGUGCCCCCAUUUUGGGGCUUUUCCUCAGUACCUGAGACUGGACUGACCUCUGAGGACAGCUGAGGAAUGGGACAAGAACCAUCCAUCUCAGAGAUGCUGCUGCUGCCCCUGCUGUGGGCAGGUUCUGGGGCUCAGAGUGGAAUAUUCCAGCUGCAACUACGGGAGUCAGUGACGGCGCAGGAGGGUCUUGGGGAGGCGAGUAUUGAGAGCGCCUGCAGUAUUGAGCCCUGACAGAUCAAUAAUCACUCUAAGUGUAAAUGGAUCGAAUUCUCCAAUCAAAAGACACAGAGUAGACCGAUGGGUUAAAAAAACAACAGCUAACAAUAUGCUGCCUGCAGGAAACACAUCUCAGCUCUAAAGACAAACACAGGCUCGGAGUGAAGGGAUGGAACAUGAUACCCCAAGCAGAUGGCAAGCCAAAGACAGCAGGUGUUGCCAUAUUUGCAUCAGAGAAAGCAGACUUCAAGGUGAAAAAGAGAAUGAGAGACAAAGAGGGGCGGUAUAUAAUGAU